AGUGAACGCUGGCGGUAGGCCUAACACAUGCAAGUCGAACGGCAGCACAGUAAGAGCUUGCUCUUACGGGUGGCGAGUGGCGGACGGGUGAGGAAUACAUCGGAAUCUACUUUUUCGUGGGGGAUAACGUAGGGAAACUUACGCUAAUACCGCAUACGACCUACGGGUGAAAGCAGGGGAUCUUCGGACCUUGCGCGAUUGAAUGAGCCGAUGUCGGAUUAGCUAGUUGGCGGGGUAAAGGCCCACCAAGGCGACGAUCCGUAGCUGGUCUGGGAGGAUGAUCAGCCACACUGGAACUGAGACACGGUCCAGACUCCUACGGGAGGCAGCAGUGGGGAAUAUUGGACAAAGGGCGCAAGCCUGAUCCAGCCAUACCGCGUGGGUGAAGAAGGCCUUCGGGUUGUAAAGCCCUUUUGUUGGGAAAGAAAAGCAGCAGGUUAAUACCCCGCUGUUCUGACGGUACCCAAAGAAUAAGCACCGGCUAACUUCGUG
rnacentral:rRNA from 1 species